rnacentral:miRNA from 15 species
UUUGCACUUUAGUUUUGAUACU